AGCGAACGCUGGCGGCAGGCUUAACACAUGCAAGUCGAGGGGAGCGGCAGACGGGUGAGUAACGCGUGGGAACGUACCUUUUGGUUCGGAACAACACAGGGAAACUUGUGCUAAUACCGGAUACCGAAAGAUCGGCCCGCGUCUGAUUAGCUAGUUGGUAGGGUAAUGGCCUACCAAGGCGACGAGCAGUAGCUGGUCUGAGAGGAUGAUCAGCCACAUUGGGACUGAGACACGGCCCAAAAGCCUACGGGAGGAAGCAGUGGGGAAGAGUGGACAAGGGGGGCAACCCUGAACCAGCCAUGCGGAGUGAGUGAUGAAGGCCAGAGGGUGGUAAAGCUCUUUUGUGAGGGAAGCGGUACCGCAAGAAUAAGCCCCGGCUAACGUCGUGCCAGCAGCCGCGGUAAUAC
rnacentral:rRNA from 1 species